AUUAGGCUAUUAGCUCCUCCUAAAGUGAAUACAUCAGAAAUAUGGCUACAUCUCAGCUUACCAAAACCAAUAUUAUUGUGCCUCUUCUUUUCUGCUUCCUUCUCAUUGCAGCCUUUGAGAUGGAAACCGCAGAAGCAACAUGUUGGGUUGCCUCAAAAACUUGGAACAGGAACUGCUACAAUAAUAUGUGCAAAAAUUGGUGCGACUCCCAAAUCCAAGGCCCUUACUACUGGAAGUGUGAGAAAGCCUGCGGCAAAAGCUAUUAUUCUUGUGGUUGCUACAAGAAUUGCUAGCUCAUUAUGCAUGCAUGCGAAUAUAUGAUCAAAUCAAAGGAACCAAUAUUUAUACUGCACGUACUGCUGCAUGGGUUGAUUAUGACACAAAAAUAAAAUCUAUAUAUAAUAUAUGGACAAGCUACAUUGCAUGCAUAAAGCUUGUUGUCCUUCUGUUGUGUGUUGUUUUCAAUAGUGUAUGUUGUUGUACUGUCUACUAUCAAAUAAAACGCAUGCAUUUGCAUGUUUUAUUAUUGUACAAUAAAAGAUAUGUAUAAAUAUAAUGGUUGUUGUAAUGUGUA